GGUGGCAUAGAAAUGGAGUAUUAGCUUUCAAUCCAGAGAUACCUGAGAGUCCCCUUCUUAUCUCCUUUUAUAUGGAGAUAGAGUUGUAGGCUAUUACGCCAGAAUUUGAUAGGUCGUUAGUGCCUAUAGAGCCAUGAUCUAACAGACCAUUGGAAUUCAUCUACUAACCAUAAUCAGGGUUGUUAGUUGUAGGUGCUAGCAGUUAGUCGUGCCUAC
rnacentral:lncRNA from 1 species